GAUGAACGCUGGCGGCGUGCCUAAUACAUGCAAGUCGAGCGAACAGACGAGAGUUCUUGCACUCUUUGACGUUAGCGGCGGACGGGAGAGUAAGACGUGUGUAACCUACCUAUGAGACUGGGAUGACUUCGGGAAACCGGAGCUAAUACCUGAUAAUAUUUAGCUUCGCAUGAAGUCAUAGUUAAAGACAGUUCUUCUGUCACGGUUAGAUUGGCCCGCGGUGUAUUAGCUAGUUGGUGAGGUAACGGCUCACCAAGGCAACGAUACAUAGCCGACCUGAGAGGGUGAUCGGCCACACUGGGACUGAGACACGGCCCAGACUCCUACGGGAGGCAGCAGUAGGGAAUCUUCCGCAAUGGACGAAAGUCUGACGGAGCAAUGCCGCGUGAGUGAAGAAGGUUUUCGGAUCGUAAAACUCUGUUGUAAGGGAAGAACAAGUACGUUAGUAACUGAACGUACCUUGACGGUACCUUACCAGAAAGCCACGGCUAACUACGUG
rnacentral:rRNA from 1 species